GCGCUCGUGGCGGAACUGGCAGACGCGCUAGGUUCAGGUCCUAGUCCGGAUCACACCGGGUGGAGGUUCGAAUCCUCUCGAGCGCACCA
rnacentral:tRNA from 1 species